AACGAACGCUGGCGGCAUGCCUAACACAUGCAAGUCGAACGAGACCUUCGGGUCUAGUGGCGCACGGGUGCGUAACGCGUGGGAACCUGCCCUUAGGUUCGGAAUAACUCCCCGAAAGGGGUGCUAAUACCGGAUAAUGUCUUCGGACCAAAGAUUUAUCGCGUUUGGAUGGGCCCGCGUUGGAUUAGCUAGUUGGUAGGGUAAAAGCCUACCAAGGCGACGAUCCAUAGCUGGUCGGAGAGGAUGAUCCUCCACACUGGGACUGAGACACGGCCCAGACUCCUACGCGAGGCAGCAGUGGGGAAUAUUGGACAAUGGGCGAAAGCCUGAUCCAGCAAUGCCGCGUGAGUGAUGAAGGCCUUAGGGUUGUAAAGCUCUUUUACCCGGGAUGAUAAUGACAGUACCGGGAGAAUAAGCUCCGGCUAACUCCGUG
rnacentral:rRNA from 1 species